GUGGCUCGUGCAUUUAAGCGCUUGAAACGAAUCAUGAAAGUGACGUUGAUUGCGUCCUAAAGGGCUCGGCAUACUGCAGGCGAAUUGCGCUUUCGUUCUGCGCUUUGGGGAAAAACGAAGACCGGGUGGCGCUACAUAACACACCCACCUAUUACAUCAUGGCUCUGGACCAAUGGUGGCUCGAGGGUGUUGACUGGCCAACAUGAACUUUCCCCUCUGAUUGUCGGCGGGUCAAGUCAUGUCGCUAAUAUUUCACAUCGAGUUGUUUUUUAAAGGAAUCGUCCACUUUCAACAUACAUCUUCGUGAUAAUUUACUCACCCCUGUUAUCAUCCAAGAUGUUCAUGUAUUUAUUUAUUUAGUGGAAAAGAAAUGAAGAUUUUUGAUGUAAACAUCAGAUUUUUCUCCAUAUAGUCACUUCAAUGGACUCCAAACGCUUGAAGGUUAAAAUGACAGUUUCAGUGCAGCUUGAAAGGACUUUAAACCACACCAGACCAUGAAUAAAGGUCUUAUCUAGAGAAACCAUCACUCAUUUUCGAAAUAAAUUAAAAUUAUAUAUGCUUUAUAACCACAAAUGCUCUCCUUGAUCUGUUCUGCGAUGCGUGUUCAUGACUUCACACGUAAUACGUAAUUACGUUGAAAGGUCACGCUUGACGCUGGCGAAAGUACUGAGUUCCACCUACGUCAUCGUGACCUUUUAUAAUGUAGUUACGUAUGAUGUAACUACCUCACCCCCCCCCCUAGUUUGUUGUAUUAAAAAAAAAUGUAAGACAAUACAUAAA